AGAGUUUGAUCAUGGCUCAGAAUCAACGCUGGCGGCGUGCCUAACACAUGCAAGUCGAACGAGAAAGUGGAGCAAUCCAUGAGUAAAGUGGCGACCGGGUGAGUAACACGUGACUAACCUGCCCUCGAGUGGGGAAUAACCCCGGGAAACCGGGGCUAAUACCGCAUAACAUCGCAAGAUCAAAGUCGAAAGACGCUUGAGGAGGGGGUCGCGGCUGAUUAGCUAGUUGGUAGGGUAAUGGCCUACCAAGGCUGAGAUCGGUAUCCGGCCUGAGAGGGCGCACGGACACACUGGAACUGAAACACGGUCCAGACUCCUACGGGAGGCAGCAGUGGGGAAUUUUGCACAAUGGGGGAAACCCUGACGCAGCAACGCCGCGUGGAGGAUGAAGUCCUUUGGGACGUAAACUCCUUUCGACCCGGACGAUACUGACGGUACGGGUGGAAGAAGCACCGGCUAACUCUGUGCCAGCAGCCGCGGUAAUACAGAGGGUGCGAGCGUUGUUCGGAAUUAUUGGGCGUAAAGGGCGCGUAGGCGGCGCGGUAAGUCACCUGUGAAAUCUCCUGGCUCAACUGGGAGCUUGCAGGCGAAACUGCCGUGCUGGAGUGUGGGAGAGGUGCGUGGAAUUCCUGGUGUAGCGGUGAAAUGCGUAGAUAUCAGGAGGAACACCUGUGGCGAAAGCGGCGCACUGGACCACAACUGACGCUGAGGCGCGAAAGCUAGGGGAGCAAACAGGAUUAGAUACCCUGGUAGUCCUAGCCCUAAACUAUGGAUGCUUGCUGUGAUCGGUACCCAAUCCGAUCGUGGCGCAGCUAACGCGUUAAGCAUCCCGCCUGGGGAGUACGGUCGUAAGGCUGAAACUCAAAGGAAUUGACGGGGGCCCGCACAAGCGGUGGAGCAUGUGGUUCAAUUCGACGCAACGCGAAGAACCUUACCUGGGCUCGAAGCGCAGUGGAAUGAGGGGAAACAUCUCAGC
rnacentral:rRNA from 1 species